CCCUUAGAUGUUCUGGGCAGCACGCGCGCUACAAUGGUCUUCGCAAACGGAUGCAUUCUCGAAGGAGAAUGCCAAUCUUGGAAUCUAUGCCUUGGUCGGGACAGUUGCUUGCAAUUUUUCGACUCGAACCAGGAAUUCCUUGUAAUCGUGAUUCAUCACAUCACGAUGAAUACGUCCCUGCCCUUUGUACACACCGCCCGUCGCUCCUACCGAUUGGGUGAUCCGGUUAAUUACAUGGAGUGGCACUGUACCAUUCAAUGGUUCAGUCGGCACGAAAUGUUGUAAACCUUAUCAUUUAGAGGAAGGAGAAGUCGUAACA
rnacentral:rRNA from 1 species